UGGGAAGUGGAAUGCCUUUCAGUUUUAUUAUUAAGAGCAUACACAGUCAAAUUUGCAAAAGCAUAUUUGUAAAGGUAAUGUGUGUCUAUUUUUAGGUACUGUGGUUUAGAGAUGUAGGGCAGAUAAUGCAAGUUCAGCUGUAUUUAAAUUAUGACGUAUGUAAAGUUUAAUACAGUCCUGCAAUGCAUUUGCCUUUCUGAUGAGUGCUUUGCUGAAUGCAACUGUACAGCUGAUUGUAUGUUUGAGGUUACUUUGACCUUGGCAAAGAUCGUUACAUAAAUAAUACAGCACUUCCUGCACUUCACAGGGCAGCAGCGUGUUUCUGUGACCAGUCUGCUGGUGUGCCAUGGCUUAUUACUGGUUGGAACGAAUCUGGGGAUAAUAGUAGCAUUGCCAGUGCCACGCUUGCAGGGAAUUCCCAAAGUAACUGGAAGAGGAAUGGUGUCGUAUCAUGCACACAAUGGGCCAGUCAAGUUUCUUGUAAUGGCUACAUCUAUAAACAAGAAAAACAAAAACAAGCUAAGGAACAGCCUGCCUCGUGGCUCAGAAUCUAAAGACAAAGACCAGAGGAAUGUUCUGCACAGUGACAGACCAGGCUCUUCCAAUAGCAGCAAUCCUGAUACUUCAGUUUGGCUGGGAGGUUCAGCAGGAUCCAUUGCACAAAAAAGUGACUUGUCUUCAUCUUCUGGAUCCCUUACAUCAAGUUCCCUAGAGCAUAGGCCAGAGGACAGUAACAUUUAUGAGCUUUUGAAGGAUCAAAAUAUCUCCUUUAAAAAUAAAAGACAGAGAUCCAAGAAAAUGAAAGCAAGUUCAGUAUUAGUCAUUUCUGGUGGCCAAGGACACAGAAGAGUGAACAAGAAGACCAAGCAGCAACGACAAGAUGAAUUAGUGUCUUCAGUGAUGGUCUGGCAAAUCCCGCUAUUAAAUAUAUGAGUGAACUAAAUUCAAGAUACUUUCUGCUAUUAAAAAGUCUGAUAUCUUUAUACAGCAAAUGCCAGCUUAGGACCCAAACCAAAAGACUUUAAGACGUGGGAGAAUUUCAGUAGGAUUCAAUCACAGAAUUAAGGGAUACAAAACAGAGUCUUCACAUACGUAGAACAUUCUGUGGUGUCAGGGUAUUGGAAAACGUCUAGCUGUUGAUGCUAUCUUUGAUACUUAGAACAGAAAGGAUUUGUCAGACAUUUUAAAAGAUUUUAGGAGUUUUGUCUUAUUUAUAUUCACAUUUAUAAAUAUCGUCAUUAUGUUCUAUAGCACUUAGGGAAAGCAAGGAACAUGUGCUAUGUCACAUGCUGGUUUUUGCUUAUGUAAAUCAGCUGUUGUUUCCUUUUCCAAACCGACAUAUUGCAUGGGCUGUAGAUUUUAACAAAUUAGCACAAACAAUUUUUAAACAAUAAAAAUCCUAAUGUGAAAGCUAAUAUUAGUAAUUACUGUAACAGUUAGUAACAUCAUUCCAUAAGCCAGAGUUUGGUCUGAACAAACACAGUUAUAUUAAUAGAAACUUUUUUUUUUCAACAUAGAAAAUAGAUUUUUUCUUUGUAUUUUUAAUGCUCAGUAUUAUGAAAAAAGUUGCAGUAUAAGAAGUCCAUUAAUUUUCUUGGUAGGUAUAAUGUGUCUGUUAUUCAUUUAUGUCAUACAGAGAAAGUUUUAAGGAUAUUGUGGCACACAUAGUAGAAAGUACACAUAAAGAACAGCUGUGCAUUGUAGUGCUGGUAAUGCAUUCCCCUAUUGGCAAUUUUGUGUCAAAGGUAGAUAUGGACUGUGCCAUUAUUAACGAGGUAUGCAUAUCCCAUAUGUAAAUAAUGAGCUCAGAAAUAUACUGAAAUAAUCUGUGGGAAACGCAAGUAAUCGUUGUGGAUAUUUGUCCUACAUCAGUAGAUCUGUGCUAUGUCCUCAGGCAAAUACCCAUCAGAUAAUGUCAGUCCACAAGUGCAGACAGCAGGGUUGUGGUCCAAUCUGCUCACCCAGAGAUUCAGCCAAGCGUGGUCUGAUAACUAGAUAUUGUAAAACUAAGGUGCACAAUUUCUUUGCAUUUAUUCACUGAGUGGGACGAGGUGUUGCUUUGGUACUGAUUGAGAGGGCUGAAUUUUAAACAGGGACCUAGUUAAUCUUUUUUUUUUUUCAUUCUUAAUGAAUGGAUAUAUUUCCAAAAGGAAUUUGAACCUGGGGAUACUAUCAACAUUGUUUUUUGCACUAUCGUCUCUGCAUGUGAAAUACAAGGCAAGACCUUCAGCUCAGAAAGAUACUGCAAAAAAAUGGUUAUGAGACACCUUGUUCAGUCACAACGGACUUAGUAUGUGUGAAAUGAAGGCUUCUAUCUUCUUCCCUUGUCAAUAAACUGAAAGAUGCAGAGAGAUUAAGACUCUUAGGUUUAAUUUGGGUGUGUUAAAAACUCUAAUACUGACCAUCAAUCCAGUAAAAUAUAAACUAAAUAUAUCCACAGCAAAAGUCUAUCAGAUGUUUGCAUUGACUAAAAUCAAGUGCAAGUUUUGGCUGUUUUGGCGUUUGUCUUGUCCCAGUAAAUUAUAAAUGUACUCUAAAUUUUCAGUCUGCUCUGAAAAGCAAAUCUGUAUCAAGCCAACACCAAAGUCAGUGGAUGGGCUGACUCACUGAGUUUGAUGAAGCGCUGCAGUAAGGUGGUGUCUUGCCUUGCCUGCCACAUGGCACACAACCCAGGACAGGGGGAAUGCUACUGCAGCAAACCUUCUCCUGCUGCCACCAAAACAGACAAUUCAACAAUCAGAUACACACCUAAAUUUCUUUCCAGGGGCUCAGCUCACAUCCUACAUCCUGAUCAGAAAAGGUAGCUUGAGCCAUAAUAGCACAAACUUCAGUAAGUCACAAAGAACUUUUGUUAGAGAUUGGAUUGUAGGUCUCGAGUUUUCCUUACUGCUUUGUUGUUCUAUUCUGCAUCUUUCACCACGAUUCCUACCAUGUCAGCUGGGUGCUCCCGGCACUGAUAUGGGCUUAGUGUCACCAUCAGUCCCUGUGAAAUAAAAAGCAGAGUGUCUCUAAGGCAGGCUGCCAGCAACAUUUCCCCAAAGUUUUCCUCUUCUUGUCCUUGUGGUCUACCUUGCCUGAGGGUUCAAGGCCAGCUGCGUUUUCUACAUUCUUCCAUAGGUCCUGGGAGUUUCUCUUUGCCCACUGUGUGGAAAUACUAAAUUGUACAAUGUGAGGUGUGCACACUGAAAAACACAUUAUAAGAUCCUCCUGCGUAUAAAACCUAUAUAACCUGAUGUCUCUUUGCUACACUAGAGCAGAAAGACCACAGGUGUGAUUCUGCACGCUCCUCAGGUGUGGGCUUCCAUGUCCAUAUUUUUGGGACUGGAAGAUUAUGCUCACUUUUUCAUGGGUCUUUAUUAUUAAGAAUGGUAAGCCAAGACCCCAUGUAUUAAGCUGGAAACCCAUGCAUGGAGUUAUUACAGGAGGUGCUAGCAAUGAGGCAUAAGAGUUUUAAAAUUCUAAGUGAUAUCCAUCCUACCUUCCAGCUCAAAUGUAGCUUUCUUCAAUUUAGUCAAGAAAAUACGAGAAACAAAAUAGAAAUCUGCUCUUCAGAAAGUCCAUUGAAGUUUUGCCACUGACUUCAGUAAGAACAGAAAUAGAUCCCUUAUUUACACUAUACUGCUUUGAAAGUAAAUACAUGUAUUUGUUUUAGCAAGUGGAAAAGACAAAGAUAAGCUGUACACCUUUGGAAAUAUGAACUGAAGUAGACCUUCAGUGAUGGAGCAUGACGUGCAAUGCUUGUUUUCUGAUCUAUAGCUUACAUAAUAAGGUAUUGCCUUGCAAUGAAAGCAGACAGGAACCAAAGUUUCUCUUACAGCAAGCAAGUAAACUUUAUAGCUGUUUCUGACUGCUGCUGGGUAGAUUGGAUUUUGCUUUCUGGUACUGCUUUGCUAGAUCUGUAGAAUUUAUGGAAGACUUUAGGGAAAAGGGGGAGAAAGUAUAACCACUACGAUAUAUUCUGUAUAUGUUUUCUAACACAUAAUAGAGUCUUUUGUAACAUGAGCCAUAAAAGUACAUAUUUAUGUUCAAAGUAUAAACUGAGAAAAUGUUUAAUAAAAAAUGAGCUACAACUUA